rnacentral:rRNA from 1 species
GCGCAUUAGCUAGUUGGUGGGGUAAAGGCUUACCAAGGCAAUGAUGCGUAGCCGAACUGAGAGGUUGAUCGGCCACAUUGGGACUGAGACACGGCCCAAACUCCUACGGGAGGCAGCAGUAGGGAAUCUUCCACAAUGGGCGAAAGCCUGAUGGAGCAACGCCGCGUGGGUGAAGGAGGUCUUCGGAUCGUAAAACCCUGUUGUUAGAGAAGAAAGUGCGUGAGAGUAACUGUUCACGUUUCGACGGUAUCUAACCAGAAAGCCACGGCUAACUACGUGCCAGCAGCCGCGGUAAUACGUAGGUGGCAAGCGUUAUCCGGAUUUAUUGGGCGUAAAGGGAACGCAGGCGGUCUUUUAAGUCUGAUGUGAAAGCCUUCGGCUUAACCGGAGUAGUGCAUUGGAAACUGGGAGACUUGAGUGCAGAAGAGGAGAGUGGAACUCCAUGUGUAGCGGUGAAAUGCGUAGAUAUAUGGAAGAACACCAGUGGCGAAAGCGGCUCUCUGGUCUGUAACUGACGCUGAGGUUCGAAAGCGUGGGUAGCAAACAGGAUUAGAUACCCUGGUAGUCCACGCCGUAAACGAUGAAUGCUAAGUGUUGGAGGGUUUCCGCCCUUCA